rnacentral:lncRNA from 1 species
CCAGCCGACCUAGGACAUUGGAAGAACGCAUGGAGGCUAGGAUGGAUAACAUGUACAAUAGACUGAGCUUAGUCAUUGAAGGUAUAACAAUAAAAAUGGAUAAGACAGAUGAACAAAGGAACCGUAAUCAUCCCAGAUGCUGACAGUGCCAGGAUGAUGAUGAGUCAUAUGGCAACAAUAGUGAAGUCGGUAGAAGAGGGAAAGAUGAUAACAUCAGAUCCUUCAAGAUACAGAUACCCCUGUUCAGAAGAAUGAAUGAUGCAAAGACCUAUCUCGAGU